AUUGAACGCUGGCGGCAUGCCUUACACAUGCAAGUCGAACGGCAGCACGGGAGCAAUCCUGGUGGCGAGUGGCGAACGGGUGAGUAAAGUAUCGGAACGUGCCCAGUCGUGGGGGAUAACGUAGCGAAAGUUACGCUAAUACCGCAUACGAUCUAUGGAUGAAAGCGGGGGAUCGCAAGACCUCGCGCGAUUGGAGCGGCCGAUAUCAGAUUAGGGAGUUGGUGGGGUAAAGGCUCACCAAGCCGACGAUCUGUAGCUGGUCUGAGAGGACGACCAGCCACACUGGGACUGAGACACGGCCCAGACUCCUACGGGAGGCAGCAGUGGGGAAUUUUGGGCAAUGGGCGAAAGCCUGAUCCAGCCAUGCCGCGUGCAGGAUGAAGGCCUUCGGGUUGUAAACUGCUUUUGUACGGAACGAAAAGGUUUGGCCUAAUAAGCUGAGCUCAUGACGGUACCGUAAGAAUAAGCACCGGCUAACUACGUGCCAGCCGCCGCAGUAA
rnacentral:rRNA from 1 species